CAGCAGCCGCGGGAAAACGAAGGGUGCAAGCGUUACUCGGAAUUACUGGGCGUAAAGCGUGCGUAGGUGGUGGUUUAAGUCCGUUGUGAAAGCCCUGGGCUCAACCUGGGAAUUGCAGUGGAUACUGGGUCACUAGAGUGUGGUAGAGGAUAGUGGAAUUUCCGGUGUAGCAGUGAAAUGCGUAGAGAUCGGAAGGAACAUCUGUGGCGAAGGCGACUAUCUGGGCCAACACUGACACUGAGGCACGAAAGCGUGGGGAGCAAACAGGAUUAGAGACCCCCGUAGUCCCUGUCUCUUAUAC
rnacentral:rRNA from 1 species